CGCGUAGGCGGCUAAGCAAGUCAGAGGUGAAAUCCCUCGGCUCAACCGAGGAACUGCCUCUGAUACUGCUUGGCUUGAGUCCCGGAGAGGGUAGUGGAAUUCCCAGUGUAGCGGUGAAAUGCGUAGAUACUGGGAGGAACACCGGUGGCGAAGGCGGCUACCUGGACGGGUACUGACGCUGAGGCGCGAAAGCGUGGGGAGCAAACA
rnacentral:rRNA from 1 species